UCCUCAUUACAUGUGUAGUUUGAGUUACAGAUUCCAAACCAAUGGCUGAAUUUCUUCUAGUCUGAGCAAAAGUUGCUGGUAUUAUUCAGAGGAUAGAAAA